AACUACUUGGGGAUAUUUGAGGAGAGGUUAUUCAUGUUCUGUUUGCGUCUUUCAUUGUGAAUAAUACAUGGAUAACCUCUUUUUGAAUAUCAGACU
rnacentral:pre_miRNA from 1 species